CGGGGAAGGUAGAAGGUAGGGAUCUGCUGGACAGGACCAGGAUCCGCUCCCUGCAAGGCGGCCUUCAGAACAGGAGAGAGUGCCACCCAACCUUCCCGGAGGACCUUGCCCACGCCAUCCGGCUCCCUCCAGUGGGCGCCUGCAGGACCCAGGAACACUACAUCAACACUCUUGGCGGGGAUCUGGACAUGGAAGACUCCUGUUUCAAGAAAAUAUAAUCAUCUUUCAAAGGCUGUAACUUAUAUGCAUUUCUAACUGACUAGGUAUUGAAAACCACCCAAGUGUCCCACCAUAGGGGAGUAAAAUAGAAUCAAUCACUCAGUGUAAUAUUAUACAUCUUUAAAAAUGUUAUUGGAAAAUGUAUGAUCUGUAAGUCAAAAGAAUCCUCUCCCACCAUUUCUUUCUUCCUGCUGUUCCCCCAUACCCGUGUUUCUUUGUUCCAGUUGGCAUGUAAUUUUAUUUUCCCCACCAAAUGAGUCAGUCACAAUGGGAAUGUCAAUUGAUUUGUAUAGAUAUGUGUCAAUGUUACAUGGAAAAUUAGGUGCCAAUAACCAGGGCCACAGGAAAAUGCAGUGGUUGCAACUCUGUAACAAUUAUGCCUGCACACAAACAAGGACAAAAGUGGAACCCCAAACAGAAAAACAAAUGCAUAUUCUCCAGUGUGGGGAGAUGGAAGGGUUGUAUACUGCUUUUGAUUUCAGUUAAUAUGGGCAAUGUCCAAUUAAAAAACCCUAAUAAGGACUCUGCAGUGCAAAUUAUUUUGCUGAAUGUUUUAAAACACCAUGCCUGUCAACCCAUCAAAGCAGAAGGGACCACAGGGGACUGGGUUUGUUCCAUGAAUCUUGGACUGUAGAGCUCAGGGCAACACUUGGAAAAAGCAUGAUCCUAUAAGAUGGAAGUUAACAGGCAGCUGUCCCGAGAGACUCUGUAAGAGGAAAAUAAAAAUAGGUUCAAAAAGCAUGCUUGAAGCCAGGCUCGGUGGCCCACAACUGCAAUCUCAGCAACUGGGGAGACUGAGGCAGGAGAAUGGCACGUUCAAGGCUAGCCUCAGCAACUUAGUGAGACCCUGUCUCAAAAGGAAAAAUAAAAGGGCUGGAGAUGUAGCUCAAUGGUAAAGCUCCCUUGGGUUCAAUCCCAGUAAAACACACACACACAAACAAACAGCAUGCUUGGGGAAGAUCAAUGAAAGUUUACCAACGUAAGUUAAAGUUGAGGACUAUAUCCAAGUUGGCAUAAAUUUCUAAAGACCUGCCUUCCCAUUGGCCUGCAGUAUUAGUCUCAUUCCCUAAACCUUCAUAUAUACCUUUGUACUUUUAGUGAUUACUUUAUUCUCAAAUGAAAAACUGUGUAUAUACCAGUUGCAGCAAAUGUGUCUCUCCCUGCUCCUGUGUGUACCCACCCAUGCCACCCAUUAGUUACCGCUUAACUAAAUGAACAAGGAUCUAUGGGCUCUUUCCUGAUACCCACCUAUCAGCCACCUUUGCCUCCCUCCCUGGCUCCACAAUUGAUCUCUAGCAAAUUCAAAAGGGCUUAAACCCCCCAGGAGGAUAGUAAAUUGAGUCAUUAGGGAGGAACCCGGAAAGAAUUCCACUUCCUGUGGUUGCUCCAACCUUGGAGCGUUCCCCUUACACUGUUGAGCUCUAGAAUCUGAGCAACUGGUGGGAGUGUGGGGUGGAGGCCCUGCCUUCACCACCAGAGUCAGGAAGCUGAGAACAGUGCGUGCAGCAGGCUAAGGCUUGGUUGCUUUGAACUCUGGCUCUGCAGAGGCAGCUCCCUCACCUAUUUUCAGUCCCCAGCUCCACUCCUGACCAGACCAGAUUAUUUUCCCAAGAGCAGACCUUUGUGCCAGAGACACAAUCUUCAGAAUCCUCCUAAUCCCAACAUUUUGCUUUGUAUGGUGCUUUUACCCACUUUUCCAGUUGCUUUCCUAUCUGUUAUUUGCAGCAACCUUGAAAGAUAAGUAGAGUAAGGCAGUGAAAAACAAUUACAAACAGCAAACUAGGAUUCCUGGAGGGUAAGGACAUGUCAGGGACUAGCCUCUAGGACCUCUCCCUUUAAAUCUAUUAAUCAGAACUGACUACACAGUAGUGACUGGAGUUGAAGUAGUAUGUUUGGUUAGAAAAAUUCCAGGUGAAACUGACUAGUUUUAUGAUGAUCUGGACACUUCCUGGGUGAGGCCCGUGAUUAGCCUCAGUAUCACUAAAUAAUGAUUGUAAGUUACCCAGCUGUGUGUGCAAGUCAAUGUGCACAAGCUAAAAAAGCAUGAUUUAAAUUCAUUUAAAGUCUCUGGCCCGUGUUUAAUAUUAUCUAUAGAUUCAGCCAAAUUAAUCAUAGGAAAGCAAAUGGAAUGUCCAAUUAUAAUUGUUAAUUUAGUCACUCAAUACUACCUUUUUGGCCAGUACAAGUGAUGAUUGUAAAAACUACCUAGAAGCCUGGAAAGUGCAUACAAAACAUGUUUUAAAAAUCGGGGCCAGAAAAUCACACGGACUCCAGUAACUGAAAACUAGGAGCAGAAACUGGAGUACAAAACAAAUACUCUUGUUGCUUAAUGGUGGUAGAAUAAGACCAGACGUUUCUUCUUUCUGUACUUCAUGUAUUUGUUGUUGUUGUUGUUGUUGUUAUGCUGUGCUUUUUUUUUUUUUACACUGUCAAACAUAAUUCUCUAAAAAGUCUUUAGGGGUCAUGGGCGAUACAGCAAUUUGGGGCCAAGGAUGCAGAGACCUCAGACAUCUCGGGGAUCAUCAUGUCACGAGAUACCACUGUGCACUUGUGACAGAUUGAUAACUGAAAGGUCUGGGAGCCACUCAUCUUCAUAGCAAUAUGUGUUGUAAGUAUUAUAAGAUAAGUCUAUGGAAAGAUCAGGAAGAGACUGUGUGCCAUGGGGUGAGGGCCUGAGUGGUAUUUUCAAAGGAGUUUAAUGGGAAUAUCUUUAUUUUUUAAAUUUCUAUUUAGUGAAUUGAAAUUUACAAAGGGCAUAUGAUUUUAUAUUCAGGCUAGGAUGUUAAAACAGAAUUUAUGCUCAAGAAGACAACUAGAAAAACAUUAGCUGUUAGGCAUUAUAGACACAAGGUCAUCUUUAAUGUGUUGACUCCGUACAAGUGGCCAAGAAAAAUAUGCAAACUGCAUGAACAGAAAGUCACAGAAACAGACAAAUAUAUUCAUUUCAGUAUUUUUGAGGAUGGAAAUUGAGAACAUCCUGAAUGGCCAACAACAAAGAAUUGACUAAAUAAAAUAGGGUGUAUCUAAUACAACAGAAUAGGAUGGUUUCAUUUAAAAUAAUGUUUCUGAAAAUAACUUUUGUGACAUAAAAAUGUACUUGUGGUAAAAUGUUUAAUGAUAGAAGAAACACAUAAAAUGUUUUCCCUUCUCUGCAACAUAAGUGCAUACAGAGCAUUCUAUCUUCAUGGUACUGUAUCAAUCUACAGAUAAAAGGCCAGGAGGAAAUACAUCAACACUUUAUGGUGGUUAUCUCUGAGCUACGGUCUAAAGUGUAAUCAAAGAAAGGUGUGAGGGGCUGAGAGUGUAGCCCACUGGUAGAGUGCAUGUGUGAGGCCCUGAGUUCAAUCCCUAGAAAAAUAAAGAUGCUAAACUAUUUUUGCGAUGUGUUCCUAAUAUGUAACAUGAAUGUAUUGGGAACAUUUUGCAUUCGUAGUUUUGUAUCGAUAAUAUAGAAAAAAGACCAGGAAGAAGUAAAACCAAGUCUCAAGGUGGUUACCUCUGAGUUGUAACACUAUAAGGGAUCAAAGAAAGAUGCUGAACUGUUUUUGCGAUGUGUUCCUAAUAUGCACUAUGAAUAUAUUGGGAACAUCUUGCAUGCAUAGUUUUGUAUCAAUAUACAGGCAAAAGGCUGCAGGGAAGAAACAAAAAAAAUCUAGCAGUAGUUAUCUGUGGUUUGCUUUCAUAAUAAAAGUAAGGUGCAGAAUUAUUUUUGCAAUAUGUUCCUGAAUAUAUAAUAUAAGUAUGUAUUGGGGACAUUUUGCAUCCAUAGUUUUGUAUCUAUCUAUGGAAAAAAGGCUGGGAAGAAAUAUAAUAAAAUUUGAAUAGCAGUUAUAUUCUGAGU